rnacentral:rRNA from 1 species
GAUGAACGCUGGCGGCGUGCCUAACACAUGCAAGUCGAACGGAAGGACGAUAAGCUUGUUGCUUUGAUGUUAGCGGCGGGCGGGUGAGUAACGCGUGGAUAAUCUACUUAUCUUUCGGGGAUAACUACGGGAAACCGGAUAUAAUACCAGAGCAUAUUCUGAACCGUGUGGUGCAAUGGAGAAUGUCGGCUUUGGUGUAUGGAAUCGCUGGUUACGGGCUGCAUUAGUUAGUUGGUAAGGUCACGGCCUACCAAGGCUACGAUGCAUGGCCGAGCUGAGAGGGUGAUCGGCCACACUGGAACUGAGACACGGUCCAGACUCCUACGGGAGGCAGCAGUAGGGAAUCUUCGGCAAUGGGCGAAAGCCUGACGGAGCAACGCCGCGUGAGUGAUGAAGGUCUUCGGAUCGUAAAGCUCUGUUAUGGGGGAAGAACAGAUGUGGCAGUAACCGAGGAGAUCGUGACGGUACCUAAUGAAAAAGCACCGGCUAACUACGUG